rnacentral:rRNA from 1 species
UCUUGCACAAUGGGGGAAACCCUGAUGCAGCGACGCCGCGUGAGCGAUGAAGCCCUUCGGGGUGUAAAGCUCUUUCGGCAGGGACGAUCAUGACGGUACCUGCAGAAGAAGCUGCGGCUAACUACGUGCCAGCAGCCGCGGUAAUACGUAGGCAGCGAGCGUUGUUCGGAAUUACUGGGCGUAAAGCGUGCGUAGGCGGUUGGCUAAGUUCGGUGUGAAAUCUCCCGGCUCAACUGGGAGGGUGCGCCGAAAACUGGCCGGCUAGAGUGCGGGAGAGGGAAGUGGAAUUCCUGGUGUAGCGGUGAAAUGCGUAGAUAUCAGGAGGAACACCGGUGGGAAGACGGCUUCCUGGACCGGACUGACGCUGAGGCACGA